UACGUAGGCAGCGAGCGUUGUUCGGAGUUACUGGGCGUAAAGAGUGCGUAGGCGGUUUCCUAAGUUUGGUGUGAAAUCUCCCGGCUCAACUGGGAGGGUGCGCCGAAGACUGGAAGGCUUGAGUAUGGGAGAGGUAAGCGGAAUUCCUGGUGUAGCGGUGAAAUGCGUAGAUAUCAGGAGGAACACCUGCGGUGUAGACGGCUUACUGGACCAUAACUGACGCUGAGGCACGAAAGCGUGGGUAGCAAACAGG
rnacentral:rRNA from 1 species